rnacentral:rRNA from 1 species
UACAGAGGGUGCAAGCGUUGUUCGGAAUUAUUGGGCGUAAAGAGCUCGUAGGCGGCUUGUCGCGUCGGAUGUGAAAGUCCGGGGGCUCAACUCCGGAUCUGCGGUGGGGUACGGGCAGACUAGAGUGAUGUAGGGGAGACUGGAAGUUCCUGGUGUAGCGGUGAAAUGCGCAGAUAUCAGGAGGAACACCGAUGGCGAAGGCAGGUCUCUGGGCAUUAACUGACGCUGAGGAGCGAAAGCGUGGGUAGCGAACAG